UAGGAAUCAUUUCCUGAGGACAGCCUACUC
rnacentral:piRNA from 1 species